UAAGCAGAAGCCACCUUUGGCAUCUAACUGUUAAUUAGAAGCUCGUUAACCAACCUGCUUAG
rnacentral:tRNA from 1 species